AUUGAACGCUGGCGGCAUGCCUUACACAUGCAAGUCGAACGGCAUCGCGGGAAAGCUUGCUUUCCUGGCGGCGAGUGGCGAACGGGUGAGUAACACAUCGGAACGUACCGGCUAGUGGGGGAUAACCCGUCGAAAGACGGGCUAAUACCGCAUACGCUCUUCGGAGGAAAGCAGGGGACCUUUGGGCCUUGCGCUAGUCGAGCGGCCGAUGUCCGAUUAGCUAGUUGGUGGGGUAAAGGCCUACCAAGGCGACGAUCGGUAGCGGGUCUGAGAGGACGAUCCGCCACACUGGGACUGAGACACGGCCCAGACUCCUACGGGAGGCAGCAGUGGGGAAUCUUGGACAAUGGGGGCAACCCUGAUCCAGCAAUGCCGCGUGGGUGAAGAAGGCCUUCGGGUUGUAAAGCCCUUUCGGCAGGGAAGAAAUCGGCGGGGCGAAUAACCCUGCUGGAUGACGGUACCUGCAGAAGACGCACCGGCUAACUACGUG
rnacentral:rRNA from 1 species